GCUUCAUACAUUUCAUAAUUACACCUGAAAGUGAGAUUAGAAAACAUAUUCGAAGAGAAAGAAAGAUUCAGAUCUGGCAACGUUUUGCCAGACAACUUUCUACCAAAUGUUGGCAGCAUCUUGUUAACUUA
ensembl:ncRNA C55A6.21 ncRNA